rnacentral:rRNA from 1 species
GACGAACGCUGGCGGCGUGCUUAACACAUGCAAGUCGAACGCUGAAGACCUGGCUUUUGUUGGGUUGGAUGAGUGGCGAACGGGUGAGUAACACGUGAGUAACCUGCCCUCUUCUUUGGGAUAACGCCCGGAAACGGGUGCUAAUACUGGAUAUUCACUGGCCUUCGCAUGGGGGUUGGUGGAAAGGUUUGUUUUGGUGGGGGAUGGGCUCGCGGCCUAUCAGCUUGUUGGUGGGGUGAUGGCCUACCAAGGCUUUGACGGGUAGCCGGCCUGAGAGGGUGACCGGUCACAUUGGGACUGAGAUACGGCCCAGACUCCUACGGGAGGCAGCAGUGGGGAAUAUUGCACAAUGGGCGAAAGCCUGAUGCAGCGACGCCGCGUGAGGGAUGGAGGCCUUCGGGUUGUAAACCUCUUUCGCUCAUGGUCAAGCCGCAACUGUGGGUUGUGGUGAGGGUAGUGGGUAAAGAAGCGCCGGCUAACUACGUG